UGAUUCCUACGGGACGCAGCAGUGAGGAAUAUUGCGCAAUGGGGGAAACCCUGACGCAGCGACGCCGCGUGGGUGAGGAAGGCUUUCGGGUCGUAAAGCCCUGUCAGAGGGGAAGAAGUGCUUAUGGGUUAAUAUCCUGUAAGUUUGACGGUACCUUCAAAGGAAGCACCGGCUAACUCCGUGCCAGCAGCCGCGGUAAUACGGAGGGUGCAAGCGUUGUUCGGAAUCACUGGGCGUAAAGGGAGCGCAGGCUGUUUUGCAAGUCAGAUGUGAAAGCCCACGGCUUAACCGUGGAAGUGCAUUUGAAACUGCAAGACUUGAGUAUCAGAGGGGAAAGUGGAAUUCCCGGUGUAGAGGUGAAAUUCGUAGAUAUCGGGAGGAAUACCGGUGGCGAAGGCGACUUUCUGGCUGAAUACUGACGCUGAGGCUCGAAAGCGUGGGGAGCAAACAGGAUUAGAUACCCUGGUAGUCCACGCCGUAAACGAUGUCAACUAGAUGCAGGGGGUGUUGAUCCCCUCUGUGUCGCAGCUAACGCAUUAAGUUGACCGCCUGGGGAGUACGGUCGCAAGAUUAAAACUCAAAUGAAUUGACGGA
rnacentral:rRNA from 1 species